rnacentral:rRNA from 1 species
UACGUAGGUGGCAAGCGUUGUCCGGAUUUACUGGGCGUAAAGAGCGCGCAGGCGGUCGUUCAAGUCGCGUGUGAAAGCCCCCGGCUCAACUGGGGAGGGUCACGCGAUACUGAUCGACUCGAAGGCAGGAGAGGGUAGUGGAAUUCCCGGUGUAGUGGUGAAAUGCGUAGAUAUCAGGAGGAACACCGGUGGCGAAGGCGGCUCUCUGGACGGUGACUGACGCUGAGACGCGAAAGCGUGGGGAGCAAACAGG